CCUACGGGGUGCAGCAGUGGGGAAUAUCGGACAAUGGGCGAAAGCCUGAUCCAGCCAUGCCGCGUGUGUGAAGAAGGCCUUCGGGUUGUAAAGCACUUUCAGUGGGGAAGAAAGCCUUGGGGCUAAUACCCUCGAGGAAGGACAUCACCCACAGAAGAAGCACCGGCUAACUCCGUGCCAGCAGCCGCGGUAAUACGGAGGGUGCGAGCGUUAAUCGGAAUUACUGGGCGUAAAGCGCGCGUAGGCGGUCUGAUAAGCCGGUUGUGAAAGCCCCGGGCUCAACCUGGGAACGGCAUCCGGAACUGUCAGGCUAGAGUGCAGGAGAGGAAGGUAGAAUUCCCGGUGUAGCGGUGAAAUGCGUAGAGAUCGGGAGGAAUACCAGUGGCGAAGGCGGCCUUCUGGACUGACACUGACGCUGAGGUGCGAAAGCGUGGGUAGCAAACAGGAUUAGAUACCCGAGUAGUC
rnacentral:rRNA from 1 species